AUUUCAAAAUUGUCAACACAACUGAAAAUUUUCUCCGAUAUUUUCUCAAGCUAUAUGUGGUUUAUUAUCUGAUCAAAUCUACUUUUGAAAAGAACAAAUGCGAGAAUACAUGAACUGAUGAACCGCUUCCAGCUUUCCCACAGUCAUCAAAAGCAGAUGUCCGGCCAAAAGAGUGAAGUGUUGAUCCGAGUUGAUGUCGAUGAUGAUUUCAAACUUUAAAACAUUCACAGUAUAUUAUGUUUUGUGAACUGACCGUUUAAUCAUGCACGUUAUCUUUUUUCCUUUAAAUGAUUUCAGAGAGAAAGUAAGAAUGUAUAGCAUUUCUGCUUACAGCUGUUUCGUUUGGUGACCGAGAAGAGCGGGAUAAUCGAUCGAUAUCGAGUCUGUAUUCAGUGUAUUGAUUUGCAAAGUAUAUACAGAAUGUUUAUACCAUAAAGAAACCGCAGACCUUUGAACGUCAGUCACUUAUGAAAGUUGUAUAGUUUAGCACGAACUUCAUUCAAAAGAGCUCUACUCCUCAAGUUUUCUACAAUUUUGCAAAACAAACCAUGAUUUGGUUGGCUCUGUGUACACUAGUCUAUAUUGUAGCUGGACAAGAUCUAGUUCCCGAAAUUUUGAAUGAUCCCGAAGACUUCGUUGGCUUCUCAGAUGACUUUAAAAACUUAAUAGUAAAAA